AAGUCAGAGCUUCUCUGUUACAAAGUCUGCAGGAGCUACUCAUGAUUCACAGGGGAAACAAGGUGUGGUAAACAGACUGAUAAACGUAAGACUUUAAGAAUGUGAGGGGAAGUAGUAUUUCAAGCUGUGUGGGAGUGAAUAAGACAAAGGGGGAGGGAACAUAAAAAAAAAGGAGGUGUGGUUUUUUUAUUCUGUUGUACUUGGUUCAAAGCAUUUCUCUCACACUGCCUGCCUUAUCAGAGGUCUAAGCUGGAGCUAAAGAAGCUGUCCUAAAUAUUUCACACGUAUAACUGACAAUAAGAGGAAGUUUGGAUGGGAAGUCAUCUGGAAUCAAGUUGUGACAACGACAUGUGACAGUUUUGUCACAGGACUCUAGAACUUCUACAUAAACUCAAAUAAUAAUUAGAGAAGUAUUAGUCACAGACAUAUUUUUCAAAGCAAAGACACCAGAGUUGGUUAUUAAGUACCUUUGGAUCUCUGGUCGACCUGAGGAAUUGUAGACCCUUCUUCCCUCAAGAUCAAGCCUGGGCGAGUCUAGAUGAGUGCGAACGAACAAGUAGUGGUGAAGGUUGAAACUUUACUUGAACAUCCUGAGCCGAGAGCUGACCCGCACGGCGUCACCAAUCAUGGUCUACACGACAUCUGUAAGGACCCAGACCACCGGAAAUUAGCCAUAUGCAGUAUCAUAUGUGGCCUUUCCUGCUUUGGAAUUAUGUCCUUUAUGUACUCUGUCAAGGCCCGAGAGACAAGAAAAAGACUUGAAGAUUGUCAGGAAACACGGGAAAAGGUUGAGAAAUACUCCAAAAAAGCUUGUAGAUGGGGAAUUGGGUCCAUUGUGGCCUGGGUGGUUUUAAUUCUCAUCUUUCCAUUACUGAUUGGAUUUCUGUCCUAUAUUGUAACCUUCAUGGACUGACACAGCAGAAGCUUUUCUACAGAUACAUGAACUGUAAGAGUGUAGAAACAGAGUCUUACAGUUCACAUUGGACUGUGCAUCUUCUAGACCGUCCAAAGAAUUUACCUGAUAACAAGAAACUGGUCAUUAUUUAAAUUUAUUGUGGGUUUAGAAUGGUGCUUGCCAUUAGUCUGGAUCAAAAGUCCAAAACUUGCUACCGGUAUUUAAAACAGAAUUCAACAGCUCAACCUUUGCUAAAUAUUUUAAAUAUGUAUGCUUUUAGUAGCAAUUAAAUCAAUGCCAUUUUUGAAUGCAGUUAAAAAAAAACGGUACAGAAACUUUCAGGAAUUUGUUACAUGCAGCAGAUGGAGAGACACACACACACACACACACAAUCCUGACCAAAACUACUUUUACAUUUCAACAAGCUGUUUUUAUUUAGGGUCUUAAUGAAAAUUGGAAACAUUGAGACACUCACAGAGAGCAUGGCAGUCAAAUGUUGAGAUAUUGUGGUUACAACUUUCUGUUCUUGUAAAUAAGUUAUUUCAAUAUGUUGUGCUUUUGAUGUUUUGUACAUUGCAUGUCUUGCAGGAUUUGUAAUAAAAUGUGUAACAGUCAAAA